UGCAGUCAGUUAUGUUUGCUUCAGUAGGCAUAACUUUUUCAGCUUUCAGGGUGUCUAAAGCCAGUAAGAUAAUACCAAUAAAACCUUGCAUAUAUUCUGAAGGUGGUGGCCUUCCUUGAGUUCCCCAGGUACCACUACUGAAGGCAGUGUUGCCAACUGCUGAUGCUGGGGAGAAUGGAGGAGGUGGAAAUUCAGGACCACAAGGAUGCCAUUUGUUUGCUUGAUUGUUGCGUGUCAUAUGGCCUUUACGUGGUACAUUUAAGGUACCGAGAUUAGAAGACUCAAAAGAGACCUUUUUUAACUCUUCCAAAGCUUGCUGAUGGAAAUUAGGAGCAGCUUGGCAUUCAGGUAUACCUAGUUUACCAAUAUCAAGCACAUUUGUAGAUGAUGCCAAAGAAAGUUUAAUACCAUCAGGUCUGGGAUUCAUUGAAUAAUUACCAUGUGGAAAAGCAAGUUUUUGCAUAGAGAAGUUAUUAGGCCUCACAAGUUGAGUAUAGUGAUUCUGAGCACUACCUAUGGGAUUGCUGUCAUUACUCCCCGCAGGGUCAGAAUUACCAGGAAGGAAGUUGGGUGUAGACAAACUUGCAGAGACAACAGGCCCACUGCCUCUGAAGAAUUCAUGUGGAGCUUUCUUAAACUGCUUUGUUUGUGUGAAUUCUGAUUGAUAAGUGUAACUGUUGCCCUUAGUUUCUUGAAUUCCAACUGGCGCACUAAAGGCUCUUGAUAUGCCAGGCUGAUUCAGGGCAUUAUGAACAUAUUUUCCUUUAAACUUAGUAUCGCCGACCCUUACAUUAGUAAUUGAAUUGGGAUUUCCCAAAGAAAGGCUUCCAGAGCUAAGUUGAAUGGGUUCAGAAUAUCUGCUUUCAGAUGUUACAGCAAUGCAUUUACUACUAACAUUAGUUAGUUGUGUUGAAUCACCACUAGUAAGUGGGGCUCCUCCAGCUGAAAGGCUUGUCCAUAGCCACACAGUCUUUGCUGCAGCAGUAAGAGGUGCCGAUGCUUGUUGCGGCUGUGCCAAAAGUAUAUUAUAUCUCCUCAUGCGUAAUUGAUGGAGACAAUUAGAAAAAUCCCGAUCACCAGAAAUAAGCAAAUAAUUUGCAGGGGCAGGAUUGUCUACUGCCCAGAAAAGCAUAUCAACUAGAAUUUUCUUGUCACUCGCAUCUUUCACCCCAGCAGGGACAUGGUUGAGGGCG
rnacentral:misc_RNA from 1 species